rnacentral:rRNA from 1 species
UACGUAGGGUGCAAGCGUUGUCCGGAAUUAUUGGGCGUAAAGAGCUCGUAGGCGGUCUGUCGCGUCUGCUGUGAAAACUCAGGGCUUAACCCUGAGCUUGCAGUGGGUACGGGCAGACUAGAGUGGCGGUAGGGGAGACUGGAAUUCCUGGUGUAGCGGUGAAAUGCGCAGAUAUCAGGAGGAACACCGGUGGCGAAGGCGGGUCUCUGGGCAGUAACUGACGCUGGAGGAGCGAAAGCGUGGGGAGCGAACAGG